UUGGUCCUUGGCCGACGCCCGGUGCGGCGCGUCGUCCAGGCCGGUGACGGUCAGCACGGCGCCGUUCAGGCUCGCCGGGACCGAG
rnacentral:tRNA from 1 species